GAUGAACGCUGGCGGCGUGCCUAAUACAUGCAAGUCGAGCGAACAGACGAGGAGCUUGCUCCUCUGACGUUAGCGGCGGACGGGUGAGUAACACGUGUAUAACCUACCUAUAAGACUGGGAUAACUUCGGGAAACCGGAGCUAAUACCGGAUAAUAUAUUGAACCGCAUGGUUCAAUAGUGAAAGACGGUUUUGCUGUCACUUAUAGAUGGAUCCUCGCCGCAUUAGCUAGUUGGUAAGGUAACGGCUUACCAAGGCAACGAUGCGUAGCCGACCUGAGAGGGUGAUCGGCCACACUGGAACUGAGACACGGUCCAGACUCCUACGGGAGGCAGCAGUAGGGAAUCUUCCGCAAUGGGCGAAAGCCUGACGGAGCAACGCCGCGUGAGUGAUGAAGGUCUUCGGAUCGUAAAACUCUGUUAUUAGGGAAGAACAAAUGUGUAAGUAACUAUGCACGUCUUGACGGUACCUACUCAGAAAGCCACGGCUAACUACGUG
rnacentral:rRNA from 1 species